UACAGGGGGUGCAAACGUUGCUCGGAAUCAUUGGGCGUAAAGCGCACGUAGGCGGUCUGUUAUGUCGGAUGUGAAAUCCCUCGGCUUAACCAAGGAAGUGCAUCCGAAACUGCUGUACUUGAGUACGAAAGAGGAUCGCGGAAUUCCCGGUGUAGAGGUGAAAUUCGUAGAUAUCGGGAGGAACACCAGUGGCGAAGGCGGCGAUCUGGGUCGAUACUGACGCUGAGGUGCGAAAGCGUGGGGAGCAAACAGG
rnacentral:rRNA from 1 species